rnacentral:lncRNA from 1 species
ACAGGCGCGUUUCUCGGAGCUAAUCCCUCAUUUCUGUCUGACAGGCUGAAUCAGGCGGGUCCACAUGAAUAAAUCCUGCAGCAGAGGUCAGUCAGAGUCACAGAGGGAAUAACGGCGUCGAUUUUCAUCCGAACACGAAAAGAUCUGAAGAGAAGCAUCUGUGAGGAUGAAGACAGAAGACAGAGAAAAGACGACCGAGACGACGUUCACCUGCAGGAGAGUCAAAACGAACCCUGAACCGUGUCCUGCUCAAGGUUCAAGAUCGUUUAAUAAAAAACUCCUGAUUUUUAACACGGACAGGAACUGGAAGGAAGUUCAGGUUUCAUUCCUGUGUGUGUGUGUGUGUGUGUGUGUGUGUGUGUGUGUGUGUGUGUGUGUGUAGGCUGCUCUGUAUGUGGGACACGUCUCCUCCCUCCGUCAGCUCGCUCAGCUCCACACUGAUCAUCGUUGUUCUGACACCAGAGACCAGCGGCGCUCUGAGCACGUCUCUGUUAAUGAGACACGAUCAGACUAAUCACCGAUCAAUAAUUACAUCAGCUCACAGUCGACCUCAGAUCUGCUCCUCCUGCAGGUUUGAAUAUAAAGCUGCUGAUUGGACGAAAGCUGCAGACGGGGACAUGUUCGCUGUCGCUGUGGGGCGAACACGCGCUGUCAGCGGCUCUGCAGAUUUACACGAACGCAGAGUCAUGUGACUUUAUCAGACAUGAACGCAGAGUCAUGUGACUUUAUCAGACAUGAACACAGAGUCAUGUGACUUUAUCAGACAUGAACACAGAGUCAUGUGACUUUAUCAGACAUGAACGGAGAGUCAUGUGACUUUAUCAGACGCCAACGGAGAGGGCGGACCCGCUCAUUGACCCCAGAUCGAACCUCGUGGCGGACCCUCUCAGGUCCAAACGCUCCUCUGUCAGAGUCCUCACAGAGAUAGGAAAACAGGAGCACACACACACACUCAUGCAGAUCCAGCAGGCAGAAUGAGGUCCCUGAUGAUGAGGAGGAGGAUUGAGGAUGAAGAGGAGGCUUAUGUUGAGCCGAGGAGGAGGAGGAGGAGGAGGAGGAGGAGCUGCAGCUUCGCUCUUCAUCUCACAAUCCAGGAGUUUAUUUUAGGAAAGAUGAGACCGGGUUUAGGGGGACGGGUCUGAGGACAUGUGGGUCAGACUCUGAGACAGAGAUCAUGAGACGGUCCUGGUUCAGGUCCUCACGGUCUGAACUGUCCCUUUAGUGGACUGAUGUAAAGAUCGUUUAAUUCGCCUCACAAAGGAUCCGGUAAGAAUUGGCGGACGGCGAAAAAUCAGAGUCGUUCCAGAUUUGGAGAAAACUGGGGGGUCAGUCUCUGAAGUCAGACUGGAUCACAGACCAACAGGUCAGACCUGAUCCUGCAGAGUCCAGAAAAACCACGACCUCUGUGACCCUCAGUCUGAGCAGGUUCUCCACCUUCACUGUGAGUCUGCAGGACGACUUUAAAUAUGAACCAGGUACACACACACACACACACACACACACACACACACACACACACACACACACACACACACACACACACACACACACACACACACACACACACACACACACACACACACAGACACACACACACACACACACACACACACACACACACACACACACAGUGGUUCUCCUGGUGUGGUUAAUGGAGCUGAGCAGACAGGUACCUGAAACACAAACAUCUACAGCAGCAGCUGUUCAGCUCUUUACCUGCUCAAACCUCCUUAUCUCCUCACUUACAUGCUCAGCUCUGUGUGUGUGUGUGUGUGUGCACGUGUGUUUGUGUGUAUGUGUUUGUGUGUGUAAUGUACCAUCACACCCUCUGUUGUCUGUUUCUCUCUCUGCAGCAGCUUGUUGUUGAGACGAUGAAUUUCAGCUUCACCUUCUUCUUCUUCUACUUCCUGUCAACUCUACCAAAGUUCAUCAUCAUCAGGACCUCAACGAAGAUGUCGACCAUGACGACCAUGACGACCAUGACGACGAUGACCUGCUCAGAGUGAAGAGCUCUCUGCUGUCUCAUAAACUCACGGCUCGGUCCGUCGACAUGAUAAUGAUCUCUGUCUGAGAGCAUGUUAUCAACCAUCGGAGUCAAACUUUGUCACUCUGAACCAAACUCUCCUCCUUCCUUCCUCCCUUCCUUCCUUCCUUCCUUCCUUCGUCUAACAGCUGCCUGGAUGAGGACGCUGAGCGCUUCUGCUCACUUUCACGCACCAUGAAAUAUUCAGAGCUGAAUGCAUGUCCUUUUUAUUAUUCAUGGGCUCACUUGACAUCUCUGAAUCAUUCACACACACACACACACACACACACACACACACACACACACACACACACACACACACACACACACACACACACACACACACUCAGGGUCAUAUUUGCAUACUGGGAGGUUCUGGUCUCAGACUCAGAGAUCGUGGAAACCCUCCGGUCACCUCUCUCUCUCUCUCUCUCUCUCCUCGUCCUUCUUCUCCAACUUUUCCAGGAGUUAGUUUUGAACCCUUUCAAAAUAAAAGCAUAUCUUUAAAAUAACCUGAGAGUGAGUGAAAGUUUAGCUGGACUAUUUUGACUUAUUUCAUAUUUUCCUUAAAUCCUGUAUAUUUCUCAAAGCUAACUGCUUUUAUUUUGAAAAUCCCACCUCAUGGUUUUUUUGGUGUGUUUUAGACGCCUGACGUGUUUUUGCAGAUGUUUCAUGGACUGGUCAGUCUGAUGACCGGGCUGUCGGGGUGUUUUCGGCCCCCUAGUGGUCAGAUAUGGGUCACUGCAGAGUUCCUGUGGUCUCAUGAACAGUCUGAGGAUCCUCAUUAGCAGCAGAGGAUUCAGUUUUAUCCCUCUGAAGACCGACACACGUGUUCCUGAUUAGUCCCAAAAGCUGCUGAGGAAGUCGGUCUUUAAAAUCGACCCAUAAAUCAGAGUUGAACGUCUCGGUUCUUCUUCAGAAGAUGUUCGGGGUGAUUCCUCAAAUUCCUUCUGCAUUAAAAAUGAAGAUGAAGUCUGACAGCAGAAGUCUGAAAACGUUCAGAGUCUUCAGAGACCGGGUUUCCUGAAGCGUCCCCGUCCCAGCAGAUCAGCACUGAACCGUCACUGAGGACACGUUCCUGUGAACCUCCAGCUCACGGCUCAGACAUGACUGAGUUUAACCAGCGACACACGACCACGGCGAGGAGGGGGAGGAGGACAGAUUCAUGUCUGCAGAGUUCCUGCUUCACUUCACCCGAGCAGCAGCUCCAAGUUUCUCUCUCACAGCUGCACACAUGCAACGCUGCUCUAAAAAUACAGCUGAGGACGGACGCACACAUGCAAGACUGAAGAGCUGAACCGUGUUUCUAUCAUUGCCUCAGACACACCAGAACCUCCUGACCUUCACCACCUCAGAGGAAACAGUUUACUGCAGCAGAGGAAAUUCACAACAACGAAGAAGACCACCAAGAACGAUGACCGUCUCCUGAAAGACCGUCUGCAAUCGAAGUUUUUAGUGUGAUCAUCUUUAAAACCGAACCUGAGAUCAAAGUUCAGAUGACAUGAACUCCAGACGUCUUCAAGAUGAUUGAAAUACAGCUCCUCGUUUAAUAAUAAUAAUAAUAACUUUAGUUUUUAUAUCACUUUUAAAAACAGAAGUUUACAAAGUGUUUCGACAAACAAUCGUACAUGGAAAUAAAAACAAAGUUAAAAACAAGAGCUCCGAAUUAAAGGUCAAUUUCAUUUGUCAUAAGAAACUCUGACAAUAGAAGAACCGACGACGUAAACUGAGACCAAAAUAAAAAUAUAAAGAAGGUAAGAGAAAGAAAUGUCAUAAAAAAGGGGAAAGAAAGAAGGAAACAGGAGAGUAAAUAUAAAAGAGGAUAUUAAUAAUAAUGAUAAUUUUGAAUUUCCCUCUGGGAUUAAUAAUCUACCUACCUACCCAUCAAUAAAUCAUGACAAAAUAAUAAUAGUGGUAAUAAUAAUGAUAAAAUUUAAUAACAACAAAGAGCAGAAAAAAACAAUAAAAUCAAUAAAAGGUUAAAUAAGAAACGAUUAUAAGUAAAACAAAAGCUAAAAGACAUGAAGUCAAAAUAAGAGCGAGGUAAAAGAGAAAAGACGACCUCAGAUAAAAUCAAGUCAGAGUGUAGCAGGUGACCUUUCAAAAUAAAAGUCAGUUUAAUCAGAAACAAAGAGCUAGAAUAUAGAUCUUAAUGUCAAACGUAUUCCUUAUUUCUGCUGAUCUUGAACCUUUAUUUUGAUUUCUCUGAUAUUUCUUCUUCUUCUUCUUCUGAAUCGUUUUAAAGACCCCCGCAGACUUCAUACUGGACCUGUUUUUACUGGUUUUAUUGGCUCCUCUCAAACAGACGCUGGUUUUUCACGUCUAUAUUUACCGCCUCAGUAUUUCAGCGUUAGACCGAGCUCGGCGUUUGGAUUGGUGACGCCUGCACUGAUGUGUGCGCUCUAUAUUUACAGAUCUGUGAACACAUGAAUAUUGCAUCACCCUCAGUGAACCGUGGGUCUGCUUCACACGUUCACUCGGCUCUUUAUAAUUCAGGAUGAAUAUGCAUCACACACUCACACCGUAUAUAGCAGCAUCCUCAGGAGGAACGCUCCGUCUCUAUGGAAACACUGCAGGAACAGCUGAUUACAACCAUCAUCAUCAUCAUCAGAAGGUAAACAUGAUGAAGGCCGCUCACAGAGACUGUCCUUUACUCUGACACUUUCCCUCCAACAGGCUGACCUUUGACCCAGACGGACAGCAGGACACUCUCAG